GUCCACCUUAGAAAGCCUUCGAGAACUUUUCUCCCCAGGACUUCAGGGAGCCCAUACUGUAAUAACAAGAUCCAGGCUUUAUGUUUUUAACAACACGGUGACAGGAAAAAGUCUUUCUGGCAUCUCAGCCUGACAUAGGGUGGCUUCCUGGCACCCAGAGCCUCUCGUGCUGAAGGCAAAGCAGGAGCCCAAAGCGAGAUCCAGCGACCCAAGAGAGACUUCAGGCAAAGAUACGCAGAUACGCAUUGGGAAGCUGGCCGUCAUGCACCGAAGUGGAAACAUGACAGGUUCAGGAAAUCUCCGACCUAGGAGUCACCGCUCAUCCAGGGAUCUGUGAAGAAGGUGAGCACUAACGCCCCCUGAUGGACCCCGUCCCAUUACCCAGAUGGUCUGCGGUGUAUCCCCUCUGGCCAUCCUUGUACUCACUGGCCCCCGUUUCUUGAUGACUGUUUCACUGCUGGCAGAUGAGCUCUAUUCAAGAUACAGAAUACCUGUAGGGGCCUGCUCCGGGUCACCAGCCCCUUUUAUCCUCAGGUGAAUUCCUCUUACUUAGCUAACAGCGCUGUCUAGCCAGUAAAAAGCUCUGUGAAAUCGAAUCCAACGCACUGUAAAGCUUAAGCCACCUCUUUCUGCUGGAUAUACAGCCUACCCUGUAUCUUACCCCAACAAUUGGAAAUCAUCUUCCCUGACCCACUCAUAAAGCAUCAGAAACCAGUUGCUUCUCACCACUAGUCGUCUAUUUUUGGAAAUAACUGCAAAGCGAGCAUAUGGUCAGUCACAGUUCUGACUCUUUAAAACAACGCCUGUUGA